rnacentral:rRNA from 1 species
CGGAACGUGCCCGAUCGUGGGGGAUAACGGAGCGAAAGCUUUGCUAAUACCGCAUACGUCCUACGGGAGAAAGCAGGGGACCUUCGGGCCUUGCGCUAUCAGAUGAGCCUAGGUCGGAUUAGCUAGUUGGUGGGGUAAUGGCUCACCAAGGCGACGAUCCGUAACUGGUCUGAGAGGAUGAUCAGUCACACUGGAACUGAGACACGGUCCAGACUCCUACGGGAGGCAGCAGUGGGGAAUAUUGGACAAUGGGCGAAAGCCUGAUCCAGCCAUGCCGCGUGUGUGAAGAAGGUCUUCGGAUUGUAAAGCACUUUAAGUUGGGAGGAAGGGCAUUAACCUAAUACGUUAGUGUUUUGACGUUACCGACAGAAUAAGCACCGGCUAACUCUGUGCCAGCAGCCGCGGUAAUACAGAGGGUGCAAGCGUUAAUCGGAAUUACUGGGCGUAAAGCGCGCGUAGGUGGUUUGUUAAGUUGGAUGUGAAAGCCCCGGGCUCAACCUGGGAACUGCAUCCAAAACUGGCAAGCUAGAGUACGGUAGAGGGUGGUGGAAUUUCCUGU